GCCUCUUGGCUGGGAAAGCAUUUUCUACUAAAGUCAUCUGUUCUUAUCAGUUUAAUAUCUGUUUCGCCUGCUGGCUCUGAAGUCCGAGGAUUCAUCUUCCUGCAGCCAGAUGUGGGGAAAGGUCUGCAGAAAGCAGGACUGGGAAAUAUCCCAUGAUCCCUGCGCAAAGGCGUGGAUACUGUCUGCUGGGUGAAGCCGAAAUGCACGACAAAGGGUUGGGCUGCUUCCUGUCUCCCACCCCCAGGUCUGCUACUCCACACAGCACCAGCCACUGAAGGGGAUGCUUGUCUCUAGACUGUCUUUCUGCAGCAAAAGGAUCUCCCCCAGAGUCAUGCCGAGAGGUCUUUUCUUCCUAGACAGCCUGAAAUACACAUCAGACCUUUUGAAAAACAAGAAUGGUGCUUGCAUCUAAAACACAGGAGCAGAGUCUGCACGUGAAUCGCUUUUUCGGCAACAGCCUUCGAAAGGCAGGAGAUAUGGGGCUCUGUGGGGAGGGAGGGAAGCAGAAGGCUCUCCACCAAGUAUCCAAGGCCUGGCUACCCAGCCGAGCUCAAGUUUCGCAACACGCCUGCCAAACACAAGAUGAAUACGACAGACAUAUCUUUAUUUACAACCAAAGUUUAAACAUUCAAACAGGGUUACAAAACAACACCUAAGUCAAUAACAGCCCAUCAACACAUAUGAAUGCUUUGGACCAAACCCUAAACUAAGGACUCCGACCAGUUGUUUGUUCAAUCAAUCAGCCAAUUUGUUUAUUACAGUCUCUGAGCAGCCAAGCAAGUGACAAAUACACCAUAAAACAUCCAUAGCCUAUAACACCCAUUAAAGAGACAGUUAACAACCAGUGUUGUAAAGUGCCCAGAGAGAGAAUAAUUUGUUACGGGGUGGCUAACAAAGUUUAUGAAUGAUUAUUAUUUAUUGAUGAUCAUUCUACAUAAUAACCCCAAACCCUCACUCUAACUUCUGCAGGCAGUUAAUGAAGGAGUUGACCUGCUGCUUCCUUGUCACACACACUACAGGGCAGAAUUCUGCUGCCUUGAAAGUGGUGUCGGGGUUAACGUCGGAAAGGAGGUUGUGGCGAACUGGGAUUGGGUUUCCAGCCCUGGACCUCCCCGAGUUGUGUCUGCAAACCCUCCUCCAGUGGAGCUCCCUCGGCCACCAGUCUCCUGUGAGAGGGAACCAACAUUAAAACUUCCCCUGUUCCAUCGAGAACCGGGGUGGACUCCCAAUCGAGCCAACAUGCCUUGAAACCUCUUGAAAGAGCAGCGUGUGGCCACAGAAGUGCACCUCGGUCAUUCAGGGGCCUGUGGACCUCAAGGCCUUUGGGAGGCCCGCCCAGUGCAAGUUAAGCAUCAGCCCCCGACACACACAUACACGACAAAUGCUGUAUUUUGAACACGUGGGCUCUUGAGGGCACAGGCAGCAGCUGGACUCAUAAGAAUGUAGGACUAUGAAACGGGAAUAUUUCAACACGCAACUUAACAAAUCCCCCUCCCACAUAUUUCUUUCCCCACUCCCACCUCUGUCUCCGAAGCGCCCGGUGCAGGCCACAGUCACACUCAACACAGCUACCCUAUCACCCGGGACAGCCCAAGGAGGAUUUG